rnacentral:rRNA from 1 species
UUCCGGUUGAUCCUGCCGGAGGCUACCGCUAUUGGAGUUCGAUUAAGCCAUGCGAGUCGUGAGUCCUAGGGACUCGGCGUACCGCUCAGUAACACGUGGGUAACCUGCCCUAUGCUGGGGAAUAACCUCGAGAAAUUGAGAAUAAUGCCCCAUAGUUCACCACGCCUGGAACGGUGGGUGGAUGAAAGCUCCGGCGGCAUAGGAUGGGCCUGCGGCGUAUCAGGUUGUAGGGGGUGUAAUGUACCCUCUAGCCAUCCACGCGUACGGGUGUUGGGAGACAUCGCCCGGAGAUGGAUUCUGAGACACGAAUCCAGACCCUAUGGGGUGCAGCAGGCGCGAAAACUUGGCAAUGCGAGCAAUCGUGACCAGGGAACUCCAAGUGCAUCGGGUAAGACCGAUGCUUUUCUUGACUCUUCAAAGGUCUUGGAAUAAGGGGUGGGUAAGGACGGUGCCAGCCGCCGCGGUAAUACCGGCGCCUCAAGUGGUAGUCGCUUUUAUUGGGCCCAAAACGUCCGUAGCCGGUUUGGUACAUUCGUGGGUAAAUCAAGGCGCUCAACGUCUUGAAUUCUGCGAGCACGGCCAGACUUGGGACCGGGUGAGGUGUGGGGUACUCUCAGGGUAGGGGUAAAAUCCUGUCAUCCUGAGAGGACCACCUGUUGCGAAGGCGCCACACUAGAACGGAUCCGACGGUCAGGGACGAAGCCUAGGGGCACGAACCGGAUUAGAUACCCGGGUAGUCCUAGGUGUAAACGCUGUGGACUUGAUGUUGGGAGCGCUCCGAGCGCCCUCAGUGUCGAAGCGAAGGUGAUAAGUCCACUGCCUGGGGGAGUACGGUCGCAAGGCUGAAACUUAAAGGAAUUGGCGGGGGAGCACUGCAAUCUGAGGAUUGUGCGGUUUAAUUGGAUUCAACGCCGGG